CAUCUUCUGGCCUGCGCACUCCUACACACAUGUGACGUGCCCUGCCACACACACAAAAGAGCAGGAUGGAGCAACAGAUUUCUCUUCUUUGUCUCUUGUAUAAUAUUUAUUUGAAGUGCUGUGGAUUGAAACCAGGACCUAGGGCAUUUUGGGUAAACACUGAAACACUAAACUAAAUACCUCACCCCAAUAUCUUUAUUUUUUUUAAUUUAUCCUUUGUUAAUGUUUGAAUAUGGUUAAACAUUUCAUUUAACCUAAGAGAUAGCUAGAUAUUAUAAAUAUGAGGAAAAAAGUAUACUUCACAAAACUUAAAUGAUUAAAAGUAAAUAUUGUUGGCUACUAUUUUUCUAAGCUUUUGUAUAUGUGCAUGUGUGUGUAUGUAUGAGAGACAGAGAGAGAAAGAGACAGACAGACAGAUGGACAGACAGACAGACAGAGCACAAAAAAACUUUACUUAACAUUUUUUUUCUAGCAAACACACUGAGAUCCCUAAUUCAGCUGUAGUUUGGGCCCAAAUCAAAAAAGCAGAGAGGAAGGUGGUGGGCGGCGGAUAGGAACAUCAAAGGCUGUGAAGGUGACUGUGGGUAAAGUGUUCGCCAUUCCAGUGUAGGACUGAAAUCUGGAACCUAUGUAAUAGCCAGGCAGAAACAGCAGCUGCCUACAAUGCCCAAGACAGGGUAAAAAGACAGGACCCCUGGGGCAAACUGGCUGGGUAGACUACCUGCGACUGGUGAGCUCCUAGUGAAGAAACUCUGUCUCAAUAAAUAAAGCAGGGGAGCAAUCAAGGUGGACACUGACAUCAACCUAGGACCCUCACAUGCACACACACGUACACACACCAUGCACACGCGCACACGAAAUCCAAUAAAAACUUUAAGAGUAAAGAUGUAGGGACUCUAUAGAGAUGCUGAUUCUCUGGUAUUUGUGUGUUCUGCCACUAUGUGUUUUGUUCAUAUCACACAUGAGUUUGUCUUCUUUUAUUAAACCAUUUCCUAACAUUAAGAUGCUGUCUUAGAUGUAGAGGAUACAAAUCCCUCUUGGAUUAGAACCUGCUUCCCCAUUUCUGACAGUCAGAUGUAUUGUUCAUCAUUCAUAUUCAUCCAUCUGCUGUAAGAAACUGUAACACAGGCACAAAGACAAGCAUCAGCAGGCCACCAGCCACAGGACUGUCAGUGAAGGUCAGCAGGCCACCAGCCACAGGACUGUCAGUGAAGGUCAGCAGGCCACCAGCCACAGGACUGCCAGUGAAGGUCAGCAGGCCACCAGCCACAGGACUGUCAGUGAAGGUCAGCAGGCCACCAGCCACAGGACUGUCAGUGAAGAAGGAGCACAGGCCACCAGCCACAGAACUGUCAGUGAAGGUCAGCAGGCCGCCAGCCACAGGACUGCCAGUGAAGAAGGAGCACAGGCCACCAGCCACAGGACUGUCAGUGAAGGUCAGCAGGCCACAACGCCCUGCAGAGCUCUGCCCUAUCUCCAGGAAGCACCUGGACUCAAAGGGCUGGCUUCCAUACUGAGUGCAGGAAGCCAGAAACCAGCCUAGUGCUGCCCAGUGUUUCACAGUUUUUAAAUAUUCAUCAAAGAUUGAAUUUCAUUAUAUUGUUUAUCUAUUAUAAUUUUAGCGGCAGUUUCAAGUAGCCCAGGCGGGCUUCCCACCUCUCUGAGGCCAAGGGUGAUCCUGUGUUCCAAUCCUGCUGCUUCCCUUUCCCCAGUGCUCGAGUCACAGGCAUGGACCACCUGCCCAGUUUUAUGAGGUGUUAGGGGUUGGACCUAGGACUUCAUGCAUGCUCUAGACAGGCAUCCUACCAGGCAACUACAUCAGCAUUUUUAUGAGAAUCCUAACAUACCAAUCUUUUAUUUGAAAUGCAUUUUUCAAUGACAACUAAUUCAAAAACUUGUUGGGAACCCAACAUGCGUCUUCCCGAUGGAGAACAAUCCACUCGGGACCAGUUUUAGCUUGGGGACGGCUCGUGUGAGAGUCUGGGACGAGCUGUCUCUAAGGUCUCUUUCUACUUAAACAGUUUUAUGAUUUUCAUUAAGCCAUGCUGAAGUUUAAAUCACAGCGGCACAAAUCCAAUUAAAAUCACAGCUGCAAAUGCCAGAACAAAGUCUCCAAGUCACAUGUACCUCGACAAAAACAGGUCCUCAGUGAAGCCAUUCAUCGUGUUCAAUAAAGUAGCUGGUAGCACAAGCUAGGAAGAUCGUUAAAUCUAAAUCAGGAAAUGGAUACAUUUAGUCCUGGGUAUAACUCUCUUGAGACUGGGGGAAAACAGGCGUGUGAUGUCGGUUCUGCCAUUAUCGACUGGGAGUUGCUUUCUUUUUCUGAAAUGGAAAGAUCAUGUGGGUGCUGGUGACACAUAAUCUCACAUCCCAGAGAGGAAAGUGCAAGCCCUUCCAGGACUUCACUGAGUCCUGUCAGAUCACAGUCCUAUGGCUUCCGCUGUGAUACCAUGCACAACUCUAACUGUGCUGUCUUCAGGUAUCUCAAAGCAUUCCCUGGGACCUAGCAAGAAAGUUCCAGAAAACAUG
rnacentral:lncRNA from 1 species